rnacentral:lncRNA from 13 species
GGAAGGAGAAGCUCUUAUAGAAAGGAAGAGACAUCGUUCUGAUCCUGAAGUUUUAUCACUUCCCAAGGUGGUGUCAGAAGCAGGAUCCGAAGUGAAGCUUCUAGCAACCCCAGGAAUGCUGAGUGAACACGCAAGGUACCUGCAGGACCCACUUGUGUCCGUUGAUCUCUCAGAGCAGUUCGGGAUCCUAGGCUGUAACCCUGACUUGGCAAGACCCAGACAGAUGAUGGAAGAGCAAUAGGAAGGAGGAAACCUGGGUCCUUGGAGCAGAGCAUCUCCUCCAAUUGCACAACUCACUGCUGGACUUACCUUCUCUUUUAUUCAAGUCAUUGUAAUUUCUGGCCUUAUUUUCUUUUUUAUGGAGUAAACUAGCUUUUGCCCAAAAACAGAAAGAAAAGCCCACUUCACCAAUUUAUUGGUAGGAAUGAAUGGAAGCAGCAUGAGGUCUUGCCUUAGAAGUACUGAUAGUUUAUUAGGGGAAAGACACAUGGGAACAGAAGAGAGAGCCAUAUGUCAUGGCUAAAAAGUGAGAAGACAGAUACCAUGACAGAUCCAG